UCCUCACUCUCAUUCUCACGCUUCUGAAGAAAAAGAAAUAGCAACAACAACACGAAUCUCUCUUUCGGUUUCUCUCUUCCACGAAACAACAACGGCACAGCUCUCUCACCGAACAGAAGAACAAAUCCCGUCUCCUCCUUCGAUUUCUCAUUCAACUCACAAUUCUCUUUCUCAGGAUCACUCUCAUCCUUGCGGUUCUCUCUCCCUCUCGUGAUUCUUCUCCGACCAACAACAAGGAAGCUCAUAGUUCACUCUUCUCACGGUGAACAAUCAACGGUGGCAACCUCCGUCCCUCUCUCGCCGUGAACAGUAUCAAUGACAACAACUCUUUUUCGUUUCUACAAAGCCCAUCAAGACUUAAUUGUUUUUGACAAAAUAGAGUGAAGCACAAGAACAACAAACUUGCAGUAACAAUUAACAGAAAAAUUGAUAGCGGGCGAGAAAUUGAGUUACCUGCGGCGAGGAGGAUUUCGCCGGUUUUAAUUGCUAAGGCUCUUUGAUGAAGGUGAUGCCUCAACACCUCUUUGGAUUCGUGGGAACUUUGGAUAUUAAGGAGACUUGAAGAUGAUCUUCAAGUGGAAACCUUCCACCAAGGUAUGAACUAUUUCUUCACCCUUUUUCAAACUAUGGAACUUUGAAAAUUAUGAAAAGAGAGAAGUGAGAAAGCUAGUAGUAUAGUAGCUUUGGUGUGAUUUGUUGCAAAGGGAGAACUUCCUAUUUAUAGGCAAAGUUUAGGGAUUUGUAAGGAAUUAAGAAACUUGAUUGGGAGGUUAUGGUCAUCUCAAGAAUGAGAAUAAGAAUAAGAAUAUUCUUCAUGAUUGCAAGAAUAAGAAUAUAUUCCUUAUGUCAUUAUCCAAAGAUAUUUCUUAUGAUAUGAAUCAUGCAAGUGGAAGAAAAAUCUCUCUUUGAUCCCUCUUUUUUUUGUCUUGAAUCAUU